rnacentral:rRNA from 1 species
AUUCCAGCUCCAAUAGCGUAUAUUUAAGUUGUUGCAGUUAAAAAGCUCGUAGUUGGAUUUCGGUUGAGAGCGGCCGGUCCGCCGUUUGGUGUGCACUGGCUGGUUUCAGCUUCCUGCAGAGGACGCGCUCUGGGCUUAAUCGUCUGGACGUGGAGUCUGCGUGGUUACUUUGAAAAAAUUAGAGUGUUCAAAGCGGGCUUACGCUUGAAUAUUUCAGCAUGGAAUAACACUAUAGGACUCCUGUCCUAUUUCGUUGGUCUCGGGACGGGAGUAAUGAUUAAGAGGAACAGUUGGGGGCAUUCGUAUUUCAAUGUCAGAGGUGAAAUUCUUGGAUUCGUUAAAGACAAACUACUGCGAAAGCAUUCACCAAGGAUGCCUUCAUUG